CUACCCCGCCGCCCCUGAAAUGAAGUGGCGGCCCGUCCGCGGCGACCUCUGCGUAGUAACUCAACGCGCACCGGAACCCCGACGUGGCCACGCCGUAAAACACCCAACUUCUGAACGUUGACCUCGAAUCAGGUAGGACU
rnacentral:rRNA from 1 species